CCGUAGGUUCCCAACGGGACAUUGGGCCCAAGUCGGGGUGUCGAGGCUCGUACUUCUGGCGAGGGCCGACUCUCAGUGGAGAGCUGAACUUUGCAGACUCUGUUGUUUUGAAAUUGAGUUAUAUUCUGAGCAAGGGCAUACAGAAUUCAUUGAUGAAACAAUUUCAGGUUGUCGGCAUUCCAAGUCUGGGGAAUGGCCGUCCCUUCCAGGGUC
rnacentral:lncRNA from 1 species